rnacentral:rRNA from 1 species
GAUCCUGGCUUAGGAUGAACGCUAGCUACAGGCUUAACACAUGCAAGUCGAGGGGUAGCAGGAUCUAGCAAUAGAUUGCUGACGACCGGCGCACGGGUGAGUAACACGUAUCCAACCUUCCGUUUACUCGGGGAUAGCCUUUCGAAAGAAAGAUUAAUACCCGAUAGUAUGUUUUUCCCGCAUGGGAGAACCAUUAAAGUUUUUCGGUAAUCGAUGGGGAUGCGUUCCAUUAGGCAGUUGGUGAGGUAACGGCUCACCAAACCUUCGAUGGAUAGGGGUUCUGAGAGGAAGGUCCCCCACAUUGGAACUGAGACACGGUCCAAACUCCUACGGGAGGCAGCAGUGAGGAAUAUUGGUCAAUGGACGAGAGUCUGAACCAGCCAAGUAGCCGUGAAGGAUGACUGCCCUAUGGGUUGUAAACUUCUUUUAUAUGGGAAUAAAGGAGCCUACGUGUAGGUUUUUGUAUGUACCAUACGAAUAAGGAUCGGCUAACUCCGUGCCAGCCGCCGC